rnacentral:snoRNA from 1 species
AUGCAUCUUGACAGACCAGGAGCAGUUAAUGUCUACUGCUAAUGUUUCCACUGCAGAAGCAAGAAAAGAAAGGUCCUUGCACUUUCUGUCUCUCUGGUUGUGGCAGCCAAGAUUGAAUGGGGUAAUACAGGA